CAGGGCAUAUAUAUUCAAGCAAACAAGGUUUGUAUGUGUUUGUGCUCGUCAUAGGUUUCCUAUAUUAUAUCAUGUUACUUCCAUUGUAAGAUCCCUAUUAUAUCAUGGUCUUCACUCUUAAAUUUGCACGAGGUUUUUGUGAAGAUGAAAGUUUCAACUUUGAUAAUUCCUCUUUUAUUCCUUAACACUUACAUUUAUUCAAAUUUUAAGUUGAUAUAACUGUUUAUAGAUUCAGUUCUAUGAUAAAGGGAUCCGAAGAAAAUGAAAAUAAAGUCCAUAUGGAUAUUUUAAAUCCUUCCCUUGUUUCUCACCCUCUUCUAGUAAAGGUGAAAAGGAAAACCUAAGGAUGAAUGCUGCAUAUUUCAGUCAUAUCAGACUAAUGGUCUGGAAGACUUUGGUUGUAGAAUGUAUUUAAUCCUUUUGACCAUGCAUCUUUUUAGUAUAUGUUUCCAAUGCCAUCACGUUUUGUUUGGUUGUUUGAAUCUUUGCAGGAGG
rnacentral:lncRNA from 1 species